CUUCAGUGAUGAUCUCUGGGCCACGGAGACCCUGUGAUGGAGCUGAGGUUCUGAGGAG
rnacentral:snoRNA from 1 species